rnacentral:rRNA from 1 species
GGAUGCGAUCAUACCAGCACUAACGCACCGGAUCCCAUCAGAACUCCGAAGCUAAGCGUGCUUGGGCGAGAGUAGUACAAGGAUGGGUGACCCCCUGGGAAGUCCUCUUGUUGCAUCCC